rnacentral:rRNA from 1 species
CCAUCCUAAGAGAUUAGGAGUUCCCUUCGGGGACGCUAAGACAGGUGGUGCAUGGCUGUCGUCAGCUCGUGUCGUGAGAUGUUGGGUUAAGUCCCGCAACGAGCGCAACCCUUGUUAUUAGUUGCCAGCAUUAAGUUGGGCACUCUAAUGAGACUGCCGGUGAUAAACCGGAGGAAGGUGGGGAUGACGUCAAGUCAUCAUGCCCCUUAUGACCUGGGCUACACACGUGCUACAAUGGACAGUACAACGAGAAGCGAGUCGGUGACGGCAAGCUAAUCUCUUAAAGCCAGUCUCAGUUCGGAUUGUAGGCUGCAACUCGCCUACAUGAAGUCGGAAUCGCUAGUAAUCGCGGAUCAGCACGCCGCGGUGAAUACG